GGGGAUGUGGCUCAGUGGUAUAGCACUUGCCUAGCAUGUUUGAGGCCCUGAGUUCAAUCCCUGGUAUCACCA
rnacentral:tRNA from 1 species